GACGAACGCUGGCGGCGUGCUUAACACAUGCAAGUCGAACGGUGAACCUCUUCAGAGGGGAUCAGUGGCGAACGGGUGAGUAACACGUGGGCAACCUGCCCCCGGCUCUGGGAUAACUCCAAGAAAUUGGGGCUAAUACCGGAUGUUCACCGCUUCCCGCAUGGGUGGUGGUGGAAAGGGUUUCCGGCUGGGGAUGGGCCCGCGGCCUAUCAGCUUGUUGGUGGGGUAGUGGCCUACCAAGGCGACGACGGGUAGCCGGCCUGAGAGGGUGACCGGCCACACUGGGACUGAGACACGGCCCAGACUCCUACGGGAGGCAGCAGUGGGGAAUAUUGCGCAAUGGGCGGAAGCCUGACGCAGCGACGCCGCGUGGGGGAUGACGGCCUUCGGGUUGUAAACCUCUUUCAGCAGGGACGAAGCGCAAGUGACGGUACCUGCAGAAGAAGCACCGGCCAACUACGUG
rnacentral:rRNA from 1 species